UACGUAGGGUGCGAGCGUUGUCCGGAAUUAUUGGGCGUAAAGAGCUCGUAGGCGGUGUGUCGCGUCGGCCGUGAAAACCUGGGGCUUAACUCUGGGCGUGCGGUCGAUACGGGCAUCACUGGAGUUCGGCAGGGGAGACUGGAAUUCCUGGUGUAGCGGUGAAAUGCGCAGAUAUCAGGAGGAACACCGGUGGCGAAGGCGGGUCUCUGGGCCAUUACUGACGCUGAGGAGCGAAAGCGUGGGGAGCGAACAGG
rnacentral:rRNA from 1 species